rnacentral:rRNA from 1 species
UAAGGAAUAUUGCUCAAUGGGAGAAAUCCUGAAGCAGCAACGCCGCGUGGAGGAUGAAGGGUCUAUGACUUGUAAACUCCUGUAAAGAAGGAAAAAAUUCCCAUUUGAUGGGAGAUGAUGGUACUUCUGGAGUAAGCCCCGGCUAACUACGUGCCAGCAGCCGCGGUAAUACGUAGGGGGCAAGCGUUGUCCGGAUUUACUGGGUGUAAAGGGUGCUCAGGCGGAUUUGUAAGUCAGAGGUGAAAUCUUACAGCUUAACUGUGAAACUGCCUUUGAUACUGCAAGCCUAGAGUAUGGAAGAGNGUGAUGGAAUAUCUGGUGUAGCAGUGAAAUGCGUAGAUAGCAGAUAGAACACCAAUGGCGAAGGCAGUCACUUGGUCCAUUACUGACGCUAAAGCACGAAAGCGUGGGUAGCAGACA